rnacentral:rRNA from 1 species
GACGAACGCUGGCGGCGUGCCUAAUACAUGCAAGUCGAGCGAGCUUGCCUAGAUGAAUUUGGUGCUUGCACCAAAUGAAACUAGAUACAAGCGAGCGGCGGACGGGUGAGUAACACGUGGGUAACCUGCCCAAGAGACUGGGAUAACACCUGGAAACAGAUGCUAAUACCGGAUAACAACACUAGACGCAUGUCUAGAGUUUAAAAGAUGGUUCUGCUAUCACUCUUGGAUGGACCUGCGGUGCAUUAGCUAGUUGGUAAGGCAACGGCUUACCAAGGCAAUGAUGCAUAGCCGAGUUGAGAGACUGAUCGGCCACAUUGGGACUGAGACACGGCCCAAACUCCUACGGGAGGCAGCAGUAGGGAAUCUUCCACAAUGGACGCAAGUCUGAUGGAGCAACGCCGCGUGAGUGAAGAAGGGUUUCGGCUCGUAAAGCUCUGUUGGUAGUGAAGAGAUAGAGGUA